UAAUCAAAUUGAAUUUAAUUUUACAAUGAAAGUGUAAUGUUUUAUUUAAACUAUAUUAAUAGAAAU
rnacentral:tRNA from 1 species